UGAACAGGGCUUUUAUUCAACAUCAAAUAGGGAAAUACUGCAGAAAACAAGAUAGCAGUCUCUUGGAAGUUACCAACACCAGAAUGGGGAAAACAGUCCUAGGAACC